AGAGUUUGAUCCUGGCUCAGGAUGAACGCUGGCGGCGUGCCUAAUACAUGCAAGUCGAGCGAACGGACGAGAAGCUUGCUUCUCUGAUGUUAGCGGCGGACGGGUGAGUAACACGUGGAUAACCUACCUAUAAGACUGGGAUAACUUCGGGAAACCGGAGCUAAUACCGGAUAAUAUUUUGAACCGCAUGGUUCAAAAGUGAAAGACGGUCUUGCUGUCACUUAUAGAUGGAUCCGCGCUGCAUUAGCUAGUUGGUAAGGUAACGGCUUACCAAGGCAACGAUGCAUAGCCGACCUGAGAGGGUGAUCGGCCACACUGGAACUGAGACACGGUCCAGACUCCUACGGGAGGCAGCAGUAGGGAAUCUUCCGCAAUGGGCGAAAGCCUGACGGAGCAACGCCGCGUGAGUGAUGAAGGUCUUCGGAUCGUAAAACUCUGUUAUUAGGGAAGAACAUAUGUGUAAGUAACUGUGCACAUCUUGACGGUACCUAAUCAGAAAGCCACGGCUAACUACGUGCCAGCAGCCGCGGUAAUACGUAGGUGGCAAGCGUUAUCCGGAAUUAUUGGGCGUAAAGCGCGCGUAGGCGGUUUUUUAAGUCUGAUGUGAAAGCCCACGGCUCAACCGUGGAGGGUCAUUGGAAACUGGAAAACUUGAGUGCAGAAGAGGAAAGUGGAAUUCCAUGUGUAGCGGUGAAAUGCGCAGAGAUAUGGAGGAACACCAGUGGCGAAGGCGACUUUCUGGUCUGUAACUGACGCUGAUGUGCGAAAGCGUGGGGAUCAAACAGGAUUAGAUACCCUGGUAGUCCACGCCGUAAACGAUGAGUGCUAAGUGUUAGGGGGUUUCCGCCCCUUAGUGCUGCAGCUAACGCAUUAAGCACUCCGCCUGGGGAGUACGACCGCAAGGUUGAAACUCAAAGGAAUUGACGGGGACCCGCACAAGCGGUGGAGCAUGUGGUUUAAUUCGAAGCAACGCGAAGAACCUUACCAAAUCUUGACAUCCUUUGACAACUCUAGAGAUAGAGCCUUCCCCUUCGGGGGACAAAGUGACAGGUGGUGCAUGGUUGUCGUCAGCUCGUGUCGUGAGAUGUUGGGUUAAGUCCCGCAACGAGCGCAACCCUUAAGCUUAGUUGCCAUCAUUAAGUUGGGCACUCUAAGUUGACUGCCGGUGACAAACCGGAGGAAGGUGGGGAUGACGUCAAAUCAUCAUGCCCCUUAUGAUUUGGGCUACACACGUGCUACAAUGGACAAUACAAAGGGCAGCGAAACCGCGAGGUCAAGCAAAUCCCAUAAAGUUGUUCUCAGUUCGGAUUGUAGUCUGCAACUCGACUACAUGAAGCUGGAAUCGCUAGUAAUCGUAGAUCAGCAUGCUACGGUGAAUACGUUCCCGGGUCUUGUACACACCGCCCGUCACACCACGAGAGUUUGUAACACCCGAAGCCG
rnacentral:rRNA from 1 species